UACGUAGGGGGCUAGCGUUGUCCGGAAUCAUUGGGCGUAAAGCGCACGUAGGCGGACUAUUAAGUCAGGGGUGAAAUCCCGGGGCUCAACCCCGGAACUGCCUUUGAUACUGGUAGCCUCGAGUCCGGAAGAGGUGAGUGGAAUUCCGAGUGUAGAGGUGAAAUUCGUAGAUAUUCGGAGGAACACCAGUGGCGAAGGCGGCUCACUGGUCCGGUACUGACGCUGAGGUGCGAAAGCGUGGGGAGCAAACAGG
rnacentral:rRNA from 1 species